AGGAAUGCUUGUAGACAUGAACUGAGGAUGCGGGAUAGUGGAGAAUUCCAGGAAAUAGCCGGACUUUAGGAUCUUUAGCACCCACUUGUCCUGUAUUGUUUGAGCCCAGACCUCGUAGAAGUGAAGAAGUUUUGCUCCCACACUCAAGUCCUGGACUGGCGUCCCAUCAGAAUUGCUUUGACUGUCUGGUACUGCCACCUCGUCCCUGGGAGUUUUUGGAAGAAGAAUAUCCACCUUUCCAAGAUUGGAAUCUGGAAAAUUCUUUACCAGGCCUGUAUCUUCUAAAUUCCUAAUCCCUAAAGGAACAUCUGUCCUGUGGAAAAGAUCUUUUAGGACGUCUAUCUUGAGGAAGAAAGGCAUUACGUCCUUCCACUGCCUUUUUAAUACAUUCAUCCAGAUAUUUUCAAAAGAGCAUAUCCCUUUUUGAAGAAGUAUCUGCCACCCAAUAACGUAGCCAAAGAGCACGUCUUGAUGCUACUGUCAGGACCAUGCUUCUGGAGAUGGAUCUCACCAAAUCUAUAGAAGCUUCCAAUGAAAAUUCAAU